ACGCUCGACACCUACGGGGGCAGCAGUGGGGAAUAUUGCACAAUGGGGGAAACCCUGAUGCAGCGACGCCGCGUGAGUGAAGAAGUAUUUCGGUAUGUAAAGCUCUAUCAGCAGGGAAGAAAAUGACGGUACCUGACUAAGAAGCCCCGGCUAACUACGUGCCAGCAGCCGCGGUAAUCUGAGCGGGCUGGCAAGGC
rnacentral:rRNA from 1 species